UACGUAGGGUGCAAGCGUUGUCCGGAAUUAUUGGGCGUAAAGAGCUCGUAGGCGGUCUGUCGCGUCGGCUGUGAAAACCCGAGGCUCAACCUCGGGCCUGCAGUCGAUACGGGCAAACUAGAGUACUGCAGGGGAGACUGGAAUUCCUGGUGUAGCGGUGAAAUGCGCAGAUAUCAGGAGGAACACCGAUGGCGAAGGCAGAUCUCUGGGCCGUAACUGACGCUGAGGAGCGAAAGCGUGGGGAGCGAACAGG
rnacentral:rRNA from 1 species